GUCGAGCGAACAGACGAGGAGCUUGCUCCUCUGACGUUAGCGGCGGACGGGUGAGUAACACGUGGAUAACCUACCUAUAAGACUGGGAUAACUUCGGGAAACCGGAGCUAAUACCGGAUAAUAUAUUGAACCGCAUGGUUCAAUAGUGAAAGACGGUUUUGCUGUCACUUAUAGAUGGAUCCGCGUCGCAUUAGCUAGUUGGUAAGGUAACGGCUUACCAAGGCAACGAUGCGUAGCCGACCUGAGAGGGUGAUCGGCCACACUGGAACUGAGACACGGUCCAGACUCCUACGGGAGGCAGCAGUAGGGAAUCUUCCGCAAUGGGCGAAAGCCUGACGGAGCAACGCCGCGUGAGUGAUGAAGGUCUUCGGAUCGUAAAACUCUGUUAUUAGGGAAGAACAAAUGUGUAAGUAACUAUGCACGUCUUGACGGUACCUAAUCAGAAAGCCACGGCUAACUACGUGCCAGCAGCCGCGGUAAUACGUAGGUGGCAAGCGUUAUCCGGAAUUAUUGGGCGUAAAGCGCGCGUAGGCGGUUUUUUAAGUCUGAUGUGAAAGCCCACGGCUCAACCGUGGAGGGUCAUUGGAAACUGAAAAACUUGAGUGCAGAAGAGGAAGGUGGAAUUCCAUGUGUAGCGGUGAAAUGCGCAGAGAUAUGGAGGAACACCAGUGGCGAAGGCGACUUUCUGGUCUGUAACUGACGCUGAUGUGCGAAAGCGUGGGGAUCAAACAGGAUUA
rnacentral:rRNA from 1 species